UACGGGCGGCAGCAGUGGGGAAUACUGGACAAUGGGCGAAAGCCUGAUCCAGCCAUGCCGCGUGUGUGAAGAAGGCCUUCGGGUUGUAAAGCACUUUCAGUGGGGAAGAAAGCCUUGGGGCUAAUACCCUCGAGGAAGGACAUCACCCACAGAAGAAGCACCGGCUAACUCCGUGCCAGCAGCCGCGGUAAUACGGAGGGUGCGAGCGUUAAUCGGAAUUACUGGGCGGAAAGCGCGCGUAGGCGGUCUGAUAAGCCGGUUGUGAAAGCCCCGGGCUCAACCUGGGAACGGCAUCCGGAACUGUCAGGCUAGAGUGCAGGAGAGGAAGGUAGAAUUCCCGGUGUAGCGGUGAAAUGCGUAGAGAUCGGGAGGAAUACCAGUGGCGAAGGCGGCCUUCUGGACUGACACUGACGCUGAGGUGCGAAAGCGUGGGUAGCAAACAGGAUUAGAUACCCUUGUAGUC
rnacentral:rRNA from 1 species